UACGAAGGGGGCUAGCGUUGCUCGGAAUCACUGGGCGUAAAGCGCACGUAGGCGGACUCUUAAGUCAGAGGUGAAAUCCUGGAGCUCAACUCCAGAACUGCCUUUGAUACUGGGAGCCUUGAGUUCGAGAGAGGUGAGUGGAACUGCGAGUGUAGAGGUGAAAUUCGUAGAUAUUCGCAAGAACACCAGUGGCGAAGGCGGCUCACUGGCUCGAUACUGACGCUGAGGUGCGAAAGCGUGGGGAGCAAACAGG
rnacentral:rRNA from 1 species